rnacentral:rRNA from 1 species
UAUGGAGGGUGCAAGCAUUGAUCGGAAUUACUGGGCGUAAAGGGCGCGUAGGCGGUCUGAAAAGUCAGAUGUGAAAUUCCGGGGCUCACCCCCGGAGCUGCAUUUGAAACUCUUUAUCUAGAGGGUAGGCGGAGAAAACGGAAUUCCACGUGUAGCGGUGAAAUGCGUAGAUAUGUGGAAGAACACCGGUGGCGAAGGCGGUUUUCUAGCUUAUUCCUGACGCUGAGGCGCGAAAGCAAGGGGAGCAAACAGG